rnacentral:snRNA from 1 species
CGCAUGCGCCCGCCGCCCG